CCUUCGGGUUAGUGGCGGACGGGUGAGUAACACGUGGGUUAACCUGCCUCGUAGUGGGGAAUAACUCGCCGAAAGGCGAGCUAAUACCGCAUACAACUCCCGGUGAGAAUCCGGGAAGUAAAAGCUCCGGCGCUACGAGAGGGGCCCGCGGCCGAUUAGCUAGUUGGUGGGGUAAUGGCCUACCAAGGCGACGAUCGGUAGCUGGUCUGAGAGGAUGGUCAGCCACACGGGGACUGAGAUACGGCCCCGACUCCUACGGGAGGCAGCAGCUAAGAAUCUUGCGCAAUGGGCGAUAGCCUGACGCAGCAAUUCCGCGUGGGGGACGAAGGCCCUAGGGUCGUAAACCCCUUUUGCGAGGGAAGAAGUUCUGACGGUACCUCGCGAAUAAGCCACGGCUAACUACGUGCCAGCAGCCGCGGUAAUACGUAGGUGGCGAGCGUUGUCCGGAUUUAUUGGGCGUAAAGAGCCCGCAGGCGGCUUGGUAAGUUUUGGGUGAAAUCUCCCGGCUCAACUGGGAGGGCGCCCGGAAAACUACCAGGCUUGAGGCAGGGAGAGGGAUGUGGAAUUCCCGGUGUAGUGGUGAAAUGCGUAGAUAUCGGGAGGAACACCAGUGGCGAAGGCGGCAUCCUGGCCCUGUCCUGACGCUCAGGGGCGAAAGCGUGGGGAGCAAACCGGAUUAGAUACCCGGGUAGUCCACGCCGUAAACGAUGAGUACUAGGUGUUAAGGGGGUAUCGACCCCCUCUGUGCCGAAGCCAACGCGAUAAGUACUCCGCCUGGGGACUACGGCCGCAAGGCUAAAACUCAAAGGAAUUGACGGGGGCCCGCACAAGCAGCGGAGCGUGUGGUUUAAUUCGAUGAUACGCGAAGAACCUCACCCAGGUUUGACAUGCACGUGGUUA
rnacentral:rRNA from 1 species